ensembl:miRNA MIR4463 microRNA 4463
AAUAGAUUAUUGGUCACCACCUCCAGUUUCUGAAUUUGUGAGACUGGGGUGGGGCCUGAGAAUUUGC